UCCUCUUUUUCCAAAGCUGAUUUCUCCUUCCUUGGCCAUCGGCCGUCCUCCCUUCCCCUUUUAUCUCUCUAUAGCCUCUCCGGCUGUCUUUGAUCGGAGACGACGAAGACAACACAUCUUCGUCCUAAAGAAGACGAUUUCAUCUUCAUCUUUGUCCUCGCCAUCCUCGGAUUCUCGAUUCUUGUUGAUCCAUUUGUGCAAAUAGAUACGUUUUAUGAUUCUUGAUGUAAUGAUCUAUCGAUUGAGAUGCAUUCUAAUGGCUGUUUACACUCUUUCAUAUUUUGAUGGUUACAAUCUCUCUAUUCGUCCUCGCCAUCCUCGGAUUCUCGAAACUCAGUAAGACACCCAAUCCAACCUAAGCGUGAGGUCCUCUCUAUAUGAUCCAGAUACCUAGGAUGUAGCUAUUAUUGUGCGUUCAGUGUUGUGAUUGUUUUGAUGGUUUUUCUGCAAGUAGCUUGAUGAUGUUGCAAAUAACAAUGGUGUCAUUGAUGUAUUCGAGAAAAGGCCGAACUCAACUCCCCAACAUUUUCAUAUUUGAAGACCCAGUGCAGACCUUGGAAGAUGGGAGAGAAGUAUUUGAAGAGAAGCAAGUUUCUCCUUGAGCUGUAAAUUCUGUUGAAGCAUUUUUGUUCAAUUAGCAAUGAAUGCAUUUUGCAGAUUGAAACUAGAAUUUUUCUGAUCGUAA